UGGAGUAUCACUCAGUGGUAGAGUGCUUACCUGACAGGUGAAAGGCCCUGGGUUCAAUCCUAGUACUGCAU
rnacentral:tRNA from 1 species